UACGAGGGGGGGCAAGCGUUGUUCGGAUUUAUUGGGCGUAAAGGGUGCGUAGGCGGUUUGGCAAGUCUUGUGUGAAAUCUUCGGGCUCAACCCGAAGCCUGCAUAAGAAACUGCCGGGCUUGAGUAUGGGAGAGGUGAGUGGAAUUUCCGGUGUAGCGGUGAAAUGCGUAGAUAUCGGAGGAACACCUGUGGCGAAAGCGGCUCACUGGACCAUAACUGACGCUGAGGCACGAAAGCUAGGGGAGCAACAGG
rnacentral:rRNA from 1 species